CAGUGACUUGAUCUUGGCUUUCCCAGGCUCCAGCUUGUAAAAAAUACAUUUUGAUCUUUGAUAAGCUACUGAGUUUAUGAUGUUUCCUUAUAGCAGCCUGGAUUGACCAAAACAGGUGUCUUUUAAAGAAGAAAAUUGGCCGGAUUUGGUGGCUCGUGCCUGUAAUCUUAGUACUUUGGGAGGAUAAGGUGGGAGGACUGCUUGAGCCCAGGAGUUCAAGACUAGUCUAGGCAAGAUGGAAAGACGUCUAUAAAUUAAUUAAAACAAAAAAGAAAAGAAGAGAAAAAUACCCACAAUGAUCUGAAAAAGACUUGAUACAUCUCCUUUUGCUAGGUAUAUAUCUGUAUUAGGCUAGAUUUUAUUCACAUGCUUCAACUCAAGCAAACAAUAUGCUACAAUAGCUUGAGUACAGAAGCAGAUAUGAGAAUCAAGCUGUCUUUUAUUAAACCAGUCAUUAAAGAGAUUUGCAAAAUGUAAAACAAUACCAUUCUACUUACUAAUGUUUCUUUUGUUUUAGAAAAUAUAGUUACAUUUAAUAAAAAUAAAUGUUAGAAUGUCAUUAGGUUUAUUAUUUUUUAAUUAUUUGAUAAAUUGUUAAAAGCUCUGUUUUAGUUUCUUACUUUUUUGUGUUUUUGAGAUGGAGUUUCGCUUUGCCACCUAGGCUGAAGUGCAAUGGCAUUAUCUGGGCUCACUGCAACCUCUCUCUCCAGGUUGAAGCAACUCUCCUGCCUCAGCCUCUUGAGUAGAUGGGAUUACAGACUGGGGGCUCACUCUGUCAUCCAGGCUGGAGUGCAGUGGCGCAAUCACGACUCCUUGUGGGCCUCAACCUUUCCAGGCCCAGGUAAUCCUCCCACCUCAGUUUUUGUAUUUUUAGUAGAGAUGAGGUUUCGCCAUGUUGCCCAGGUUGAUCCUGAACUCCUGGGCUCAAGCAAUCCACCCACUUUGGUCUCUCAAAGUGCUAGGAUUAUAGGCAUGAGCCACCGUACCUGGCAGUUUUUAUAUAUUUUCUGUUAG
rnacentral:lncRNA from 1 species